UACGAGGGGUGCAAACGUUAUUCGGAAUGAUUGGGCGUAAAGGGUGCGUAGGCGGUAUAGUAAGUCAAUUGUUAAAUCUCCCGGCCUAACCGGGAACAUGCAGUAGAAACUACUAUACUAGAGGAUGGAAGAGAGAAGUGGAAUUUUCGGAGUAGCGGUAAAAUGCGUAGAUCUCGAGAGGAACACCGAUGGCGAAGGCAGCUUCUUGGUCCAUUACUGACGCUGAGGCACGAAAGCGUGGGGAGCAAACAGG
rnacentral:rRNA from 1 species